rnacentral:rRNA from 1 species
UACGAAGGGGACUAGCGUUGUUCGGAAUUACUGGGCGUAAAGCGCACGUAGGCGGAUUUGUUAGUCAGGGGUGAAAUCCCGGGGCUCAACCUCGGAACUGCCUUUGAUACUGCAAAUCUCGAGUCCGAUAGAGGUGGGUGGAAUUCCUAGUGUAGAGGUGAAAUUCGUAGAUAUUGGAAGGAACACCAGUGGCGCAAGCGGCUAUCUGGACGAGUAUUGACGCUGAGGCACGAAAGCGUGGGGAUCAAACAGG